rnacentral:rRNA from 1 species
GAUGAACGCUGGCGGCGUGCCUAAUACAUGCAAGUCGAGCGAACAGACGAGGAGCUUGCGCGUCUGACGUUAGGGGCGGACGGGUGAGUAACACGUGGAUAACCUACCUAUAAGACUGUUAUAACCUCGGGAAUCCGGCGCUAAUACGGGAGAAUAUAUUGAACCGCAUGGUUCGCUAGUUAAAGACGGUUGUUCUGGCACUUAUAGCUGGAUCCGCGCCGCAUUAGCUAGUUGUUCGGGUAAAGGGUUACCAAGGCAAGGAUGCGUAGCCCACGUGCGAGACGGAUCGGCCACCGUAGAACUGAGACAGCGUCAAUACGCCUGCGAGAGGCACCAGUAGGGAAUCGUACGCAAUAGGCGAAAGCUUGACGGAGUAACGCCGCGCGAGUGAUGACAGUCUUACGAUCGUAAAAAUCUGCUGCGAGUUAAAAACAGAUAUGGACGGUGCUAAGGACGUCUUGACGGUAACUAGUAAGAAAGCCACGGCUAACUACGUG